GGGAGUACUACUAAUAAAGGCAUUACUUCUGCCUUACAAGCAGAGGGUCGGGGGUUCGAAUCCCUCAACUCCCACCA
rnacentral:tRNA from 1 species